GAUGAACGCUGGCGGCGUGCCUAAUACAUGCAAGUCGAGCGAACAGACGAGGAGCUUGCUCCUCUGACGUUAGCGGCGGACGGGUGAGUAACACGUGGAUAACCUACCUAUAAGACUGGGAUAACUUCGGGAAACCGGAGCUAAUACCGGAGAAUAUAUUCAACCGCUUGGUUCAAUAGUGAAAGACGGUUUUGCUGUCACUUAUAGAUGGAUCCGCGCCGCAUUAGCUAGUUGGUAAGGUAACGGCUUACCAAGGCAACGAUGCGUAGCCGACCUGAGAGGGUGAUCGGCCACACUGGAACUGAGACACGGUCCAGACUCCUACGGGAGGCAGCAGUAGGGAAUCUUCCGCAAUGGGCGAAAGCCUGACGGAGCAACGCCGCGUGAGUGAUGAAGGUCUUCGGAUCGUAAAACUCUGUUAUUAGGGAAGAACAAAUGUGUAAGUAACUAUGCACGUCUUGACGGUACCUAAUCAGAAAGCAACGGCUAACUACGUG
rnacentral:rRNA from 1 species